rnacentral:lncRNA from 12 species
GAUCAUACUCUCCUGCACUUGCUGAAGGUCUCACUUUGCUUGAAAGCUGUCUGAAACAGAGGGAGAAAUAUCCCCAAAUGGAAAUGCAUAACACAAGCACUUGGAGUACAUUUG